rnacentral:piRNA from 1 species
UGCCAUUGCAGAAGGAAGUAGGAUGAUAU